rnacentral:rRNA from 1 species
AUUGAACGCUGGCGGCAUGCCUUACACAUGCAAGUCGAACGGCAGCACGGGAGCAAUCCUGGUGGCGAGUGGCGAACGGGUGAGUAAAGUAUCGGAACGUGCCCAGUCGUGGGGGAUAACGUAGCGAAAGUUCCGCUAAUACCGCAUACGAUCUAGGGAUGAAAGGGGGGGAUCGCAAGACCUCGCGCGCUUGGACAGGACGAUAUCAGGUUAGGUAGUUGGUGGGGUAAAGGCGCACCAAGCCGACGAUCUGUAGCUGGUCUGAGAGGACGACCAGCCACACUGGGACUGAGACACGGCCCAGACUCCUACGGGAGGCAGCAGUGGGGAAUUUUGGACAAUGGGCGAAAGCCUGAUCCAGCCAUGCCGCGUGCAGGAUGAAGGCCUUCGGGUUGUAAACUGCUUUUGUACGGAACGAAAAGGUUUGGGCUAAUAAGCUGAGCUCAUGACGGUACCGUAAGAAUAAGCACCGGCUAACUACGUGCCAGCAGCCGCCGCAG